rnacentral:rRNA from 1 species
GACGAACGCUGGCGGCGUGCCUCAUACAUGCAAGUCGAACGAGCGGCGGACGGGUGAGUAAUGUAUGGGGGCUGCCCGAUAGAGGGGGAUAACUACUGGAAACGGUGGCUAAUACCGCAUACUAUCGGAUAACCCAUAUGGGAUUAGCUAGUAGGUGUGGUAAAGGCUCACCUAGGCGGCGAUCUCUAGCUGGUCUGAGAGGAUGAUCAGCCACACUGGGACUGAGACACGGCCCAGACGCCUACGGAGGCAGCAGUGGGGAAUAGUGCACAAUGGGCGCAAGCCUGAUGCAGCCAUGCCGCGUGUAUGAAGAAGGCCUUAGGGUUGUAAAGUACUUUCAGCGGGGAGGCGUUACCCGCAGAAGAAGCACCGGCUAACUCCGUGCCAGCAGCCGCGGUAAUUC